UAUCUCCUUCUCCCACUCCCCUGCUAUGGCUAUCAAAAAUUGAAAUGGUAACCAAUCACAUCCAUCUUGUAAAUACCAAUAGAAACAAUUUACAAUCUCCAGGAAGAUAAGGCAACUUAAUUUUAUUUAACAGGACAACAACAAUCCUUAGUCCCAAAUAAAGUUGGGGUCGGCUGUUUGUGUGACAGGGUUAAGAAAAAAUGAUGAGACUACAAACUUAUGCGGGGCUUAGUGUAAUAGCUACACUAGCUGCUAUUUAUCAUGCCUUCAGCAGUAGAGGCCAGUUUUACCCAGCAAUGGUUUAUUUAUCGACAUCUAAGAUCAGUCUGGUGCUUCUCCUCAACAUGGCUCUCGCCAUUAUGUGCAUUUUAUGGCAACUAACCAAGAAAGUUUUCCUUGGUACUCUUCGGGAGGCAGAGGCGGAGAGGCUAAAUGAACAAUCAUGGCGGGAACUCAUGGAAAUACUUUUUGCAAUUACUAUUUUCCGGCAAGACUUCUCUGUGAUGUUUCUUGCCAUGGUUACCGGCCUAUUGUUUAUCAAGUCUUUGCAUUGGUUGGCUCAGAAACGGGUUGAGCAUAUUGAAACAACUCCAGCGGUUACUAAGUUGUCCCACAUUCGAAUAGUCUCUUUCAUGGGCUUCCUCCUCCUCAUUGAUAGUAUCUUUUUGUACAACUACAUGAACCAUUUGAUACAGACAAGACAUGCUUCUGUUUCUCUCUUCUUUGCAUUUGAGUACAUGAUACUCACUACAACAACUGUUGCAACAUUCGUGAAAUAUGUAUUCCAUGUAUGUGACAUGCUUAUGGAAGGACAAUGGGAGAGGAAGGCUGUAUAUACUUUCUACUUGGAGCUUAUUCGGGACUUGCUCCACUUGACUAUGUACAUGUGCUUCUUCCUCAUGAUUUUCAUCAAUUAUGGUGUGCCUCUGCACUUGAUUCGGGAACUUUAUGAGACAUUCCGCAACUUCAAGAGUCGAGUUGCUGACUACAUACGCUAUCGAAAAGUCACCUCAAACAUGAAUGAUCUUUUUCCAGAGGCUACACCGGAAGAGCUCAAUGGAGGUGAUACCAUCUGUAUCAUUUGUCGUGAGGAGAUGACCACUGCCAAGAAACUUGUUUGUGGACAUCUCUUUCAUGUUAAUUGCCUCCGGUCAUGGCUAGAACGUCAGCACACAUGUCCUACAUGCAGAGCCCUUGUUGUACCACCUGAAAAUGGGACGAAUGUUGCAGGAUCUCGAUAUGCUCAGCAAGGCCCAGGAACAAGUUUUACACCUCAAGGUUCUCAAGCAGAUCCCAGGACAAACAGCCAUGUUAGCCAGCACCAGGCUAGACUCCAAGCUGCAGCAGCAGCUGCUGCAAUUUAUGAGAAGUCCAUUGUUUAUCCUUCUGCACAGAUGCUACCCUGCUAUCUUGGUGCUAACAUGCCUUUUGGAGAUAGUUCUUGGAACAACCUUAGUACUUCAGAUACUCAACUCGAGGCCCAUAGGAUAUCCUUACAGCAGCAGAUUGAGAUUCUGCGAAGCCAGCUCACGCUUCUACAGAGUUCAAAGACACAGAGAGCAGCUGCUGCGGUAGGAGCUUCAGAUGGCAAGGGAAAAGCAAUUUCGUUUGAGAGUGCUCAGAAAGGACAGGCUGAAGGUGCAGAUAUUUAAGGUUUGAUCAUCUGUAUAUAAAGUGCAUGUUGAAUUGUGGACAUUCAGUCAGAAUGGCAGCUGAACAAUGCUAUUUGCUAGAGGAUCUGUCAGUUGUGUUUUCUCUAGUGAUCUGGAAAUAGUUAUAUUGCUGGUAAGAGAGAUGAUUUCUGUCUUGUGAUGUAUUUGGUUCUCGAGGAUCUCCAAUUCUUGCAUCCCUGUAGAGUCUCCACUUCACUUGGGUACACAUCAGUUCAUUCAUUUAACUGAAUUUGGUCCAUUAGCAAACUAGGUAAACAGGUCAGACAGGUUCUUGAAUUGGCCUCCUUAUUUCAGCACCAGGAAUAGGUGUUAUAUGUACAGGGCAUUGGCUUGUUGUGAGGAAAUAAUUAUUGUUUACUGGUGGAAAUAGUGGUGUAUUUUCUAAGUAUGAUAUUUGGUCAGUGAUAUGUAAGGAAAUUGGCACAAACUCAUUUUUGAGAAAGCAGUUGAUUCUCUCUCAUUUGUUCUGCAGAUUCAGAUAUCUUAUUUGUCAGAAUAAUGUAUAAGUUGGUGAUUCCUCCAGCUUGUUCCCAACUCGGUUUUAUUGCAGUCAACUUGUUGAA